CCAGAGAAUUUAGCAGAGAUGCUUUAGUGCCUUCGGGAACUCUGAGACAGGUGCUGCAUGGCUGUCGUCAGCUCGUGUUGUGAAAUGUUGGGUUAAGUCCCGCAAGAGCGCAACCCCUAUCCUUUGUUGCCAGCGAUUCGGUCGGGAACUCAAAGGAGACUGCCGGUGAUAAACCGGAGGAAGGUGGGGAUGACGUCAAGUCAUCAUGGCCCUUACGAGUAGGGCUACACACGUGCUACAAUGGCGCAUACAAAGAGAAGCGACCUCGCGAGAGCAAGCGGACCUCAUAAAGUGCGUCGUAGUCCGGAUUGGAGUCUGCAACUCGACUCCAUGAAGUCGGAAUCGCUAGUAAUCGUAGAUCAGAAUGCUACGGUGAAUACGUUCCCGGGCCUUGUACACACCGCCCGUCACACCAUGGGAGUGGGUUGCAAAAGAAGUAGAUAGCUUAACCUUCGGGAGGGCGUUUACCACUUUGUGAUUCAUGACUGGGGUGAAGUCGUAACAAGGUAGGCGUAGCGAG
rnacentral:rRNA from 1 species